UGAGUAGGCGGUAAUAUGUGUCAGAUGUAAAAGGCUAUGGCUUAACCAUAGUUGGCAUUUGAAACUGUAUUACUUGAGUGCAGGAGAGGUAAGUGGAAUUCCUAGUGUAGCGGCGAAAUGCGUAGAUAUUAGGAGGAACACCAGUGGCGAAGGCGACUUACUGGACUGUAACUGACGCUGAGUCACGAAAGCGUGGGUAGCAAACA
rnacentral:rRNA from 1 species